GGUAGUCGUACAUGGUAGCCGUAACAUGAUGGAGCGGAAAACGGGAGCUUGCUCCUUCGAUUCAGCGGCGGACGGGUGAGUAAUGCCUAGGAAUCUGCCUGGUAGUGGGGGACAACGUUUCGAAAGGAACGCUAAUACCGCAUACGUCCUACGGGAGAAAGCAGGGGACCUUCGGGCCUUGCGCUAUCAGAUGAGCCUAGGUCGGAUUAGCUAGUAGGUGAGGUAAUGGCUCACCUAGGCGACGAUCCGUAACUGGUCUGAGAGGAUGAUCAGUCACACUGGAACUGAGACACGGUCCAGACUCCUACGGGAGGCAGCAGUGGGGAAUAUUGGACAAUGGGCGAAAGCCUGAUCCAGCCAUGCCGCGUGUGUGAAGAAGGUCUUCGGAUUGUAAAGCACUUUAAGUUGGGAGGAAGGGCAGUAAGUUAAUACCUUGCUGUUUUGACGUUACCGACACAAUACGCACCGGCUAACUCUGUGCCAGCAGCCGCGGUAAUACAGAGGGUGCAAGCGUUAAUCCGAAUUACUGGGCGUAAAGCGCGCGUAGUGGUUCGUUAAGUUGGAUGUGAAAGCCCCGGGCUCACCUGGGAACUGCCCCCCAAACUGGCGAGCUAAACCUGGCACAGGGUGGUGCAAUUCCCCGGACCGGUGAAAUGCCUACAUCUACGAA
rnacentral:rRNA from 1 species